rnacentral:rRNA from 1 species
AACUUUCAACAACGGAUCUCUUGGUUCUGGCAUCGAUGAAGAACGCAGCGAAAUGCGAUAAGUAAUGUGAAUUGCAGAAUUCAGUGAAUCAUCGAAUCUUUGAACGCACAUUGCGCCCGCCAGUAUUCUGGCGGGCAUGCCUGUCCGAGCGUCAUUUCAACCAUCAAGCCCCGU